rnacentral:misc_RNA from 1 species
GUGAAUCAUCAAAUCUUUGAACGCAAAUUGCACUCUCUUCGGAGAGUAUGACUGUUUGAGGGUCAGCCUAAAAAAAUCUGACAAAGUUGUUGUUACGGGGUAACAUUGGUCGGAAAUGGGGUCAUAUUAAACAUUUGGGUUAAAGAGGUUUAAAAUUUCCUUUACGUUUCAAAGAACGUUUCUAAGAUUUAAUUUUUUAAUACGUUAAAGGUUUUGUUCUUUUUGAGAGGUGGCG